CCGGGCCUCGAACUCAGAAAUCUGCAUUCCCAAGUGCUGGGAUUAAAGGCGUGCACCACCACUGCCCGGCGGACCCUAAGUUUCUAAGGAUAAACCAAGGACGGAAUGCCAAUAGUCAACUGGACCUGCUGAGACGAUCCUUGGCCAGCAACUCAGCAGUCGGAGAUGGCAGUUGUCUGACUUAGAAGGCAGUUGUGUUUGUGAGAGCGUAGUAGGAUAAAAAGUGUCCCCAUAGACUCAUGGUGAAGGCUUUCUCUGCAGCUGGUGAUCGUCCUCAAUUUAAGCACGUUGUGAUGGUUUGUAUAUCACUGGACCAGGGAGUGGCACCAUCUGAAGGUGUG